rnacentral:tRNA from 3 species
GCCGGUGUAGCUCAGCUGGUAGAGCAACUGACUUGUAAUCAGUAGGUCGGAGGUUCGAAUCCCCUCGCCGGCUCCA